GAUGAACGCUAGCGACAGGCUUAACACAUGCAAGUCGAGGGGCAGCAUGGCUUUGGUUUACUAAAGCUGAUGGCGACCGGCGCACGGGUGAGUACCGCGUAUGCAACUUACCUGUCAGUAGGGCAUAACCCGGCGAAAGUCGGACUAAUUCCCUAUGAUACAGUUUUACCGCAUGGUAUGAUUGUUAAAGAUUUAUUGCUGACAGAUGGGCAUGCGUUCCAUUAGGUUGUUGGUGAGGUAACUGCUCACCAAGCCUUCGAUGGAGCGGGGAACUGAGAGGUUGGUCCCCCACACUGGUACUGGGACGCGGUCCAGACUCCUACGGGAGGCAGCAGUGAGGAAUAUUGGUCAAUGGGCGAAAGCCUGAACCAGCCAAGUCGCGUGAAGGAUGAAGGAUUUAUAGUUCGUAAACUUCUUUUAUUGGGGAAUAAUUUGCGUGACGUGUCCUGUAUUUUAUGUACCCAUUGAAUAAGGAUAGGCUAACUCCGUGCCAGCCGCCGCCGUAA
rnacentral:rRNA from 1 species